UGACCUCAGAUCAGGCAAGGCAACCCGCUGAAUUUAAGCAUAUUAAUAAGCGGAGGAAAAGAAACUAACAAGGAUUCCCCUAGUAAUGGCGAAUGAAGCGGGAACAGCUCAAAUUUAAAAUCUCCGUUGCUUGCAACGGCGAAUUGUAGUUUCGAGAAGCACUUUCUCGGCGGAUCCGAGGUCGUCCAAGUUGCUUGGAACAGCACGUCGUAGAGGGUGACAACCCCGUCUGCGGCGAUCUCGGCCGUUCACGAUGUGCUUUCGACGAGUCGGGUUGUUUGGGAAUGCAGCCCAAAAUGGGUGGUAAACUCCAUCUAAAGCUAAAUAUUGGCACGAGACCGAUAGCGAACAAGUACCGUGAGGGAAAGAUGAAAAGCACUUUGAAAAGAGAGUUAAAAAGUACGUGAAACCGUUAAAAGGGAAACGAAUGGGGUUAGCAAUGCGUCGUGCGAGAUUCAGCCGGUGGGUGGGCCAGGCGGGCGGUUGGCGGAUCUGAAUGGACCGCUGCCGUUCGGGUUGGUUUCCCGACCGUCGCACUUCUCGCAGGCGCGCGCCAACGUCGGUUAGGGCUGGGUCUCAAAGGCGGUGGAAAGGUAGGUUUGGACUCUCGGGCCCGAACUGUUACAGUCCUCCGUUCGUCAUGGCCCGGACCUGACCGAGGAGCUUGCGGUGCAUGCCGUUCGGCUAGGAUCCCGUCUUCCCGGUCGGUCGUCGAAUGCGGUGGACUGCGUGCAGUGCGCCGCGACUGCUGCCGGUCGCGAGGGCGGUGAUUUCGUACUAUGCACCCACGACGUUGGCGGUCAUAUGGCCUCAUCCGACCCGUCUUGAAACACGGACCAAGGAGUCUAACAUGUGUGCGAGUCUNUGAGUGAUCGAAACUCCGAGGCGUAAUGAAAGUGAAGGCGACUCCGGUCGCUGAGGUGAGAGCCUUUUUCCACAAAAAAAGGCGCAUCAUUGACCGACCUAUUCUACUCUUAGAAAGGUUUGAGUAAGAGCGCAUCUGUUGGGACCCGAAAGAUGGUGAACUAUGCCUGAAUAGGGUGAAGCCAGAGGAAACUCUGGUGGAGGCUCGUAGCGAUUCUGACGUGCAAAUCGAUCGUCAAAUUUGGGUAUAGGGGCGAAAGACUAAUCGAACUGUCUAGUAGCUGGUUCCCUCCGAAGUUUCCCUCAGGAUAGCUGGAACUUACGGCAGUUUUAUCAGGUAAAGCGAAUGAUUAGAGGUCUUAGGGUUAAAACAACCUUAACCUAUUCUCAAACUUUAAAUUGGUAAGAAGUCCGACUUGCUUAAUUGAAGCCGGACAGUGAAUGCGAGUUCCUAGUGGGCCAUUUUUGGUAAGCAGAACUGGCGAUGCGGGAUGAACCGAACGCGCGGUUAAGGUGCCAAAGUCGACGCUCAUCAGACCCCACAAAAGGUGUUGGUUGCUCUAGACAGCAGGACGGUGGCCAUGGAAGUUGGAAUCCGCUAAGGAGUGUGUAACAACUCACCUGCCGAAGCAACUAGCCCUGAAAAUGGAUGGCGCUCAAGCGUCGCACCUAUACCGUGCCGUCGGAGCAGAUGCGAAGCUCCGACGAGUAGGAGGGCGUGGGGGUCGUGACGCAGCCUCUGGCGCGAGCCUGGGUGAAACGGCCUCCAGUGCAGAUCUUGGUGGUAGUAGCAAAUAUUCAAAUGAGAGCUU
rnacentral:ncRNA from 1 species